rfam:Camelus ferus unplaced genomic scaffold scaffold826, whole genome shotgun sequence.
GGAGGUAUAGCCCAAGUGGUAGAGCACAUGCUUAGCACGCACCAGGUCCUGGGUUCAAUCCCCAGCACCUCCU